rnacentral:rRNA from 1 species
CACGUAGGGCGCAAGCGUUGUCCGGAAUUAUUGGGCGUAAAGGGCUCGUAGGCGGUUCGUCACGUCGGGAGUGAAAACUCGGAGCUUAACUCCGAGCCUGCUUCCGAUACGGGCAGACUAGAGGUAGGCAGGGGAGAGCGGAACUCCUGGUGUAGCGGUGGAAUGCGCAGAUAUCAGGAAGAACACCGGUGGCGAAGGCGGCUCUCUGGGCCUUACCUGACGCUGAGGAGCGAAAGCGUGGGGAGCGAACAGG